UUGACGGUACCCUACUAGAAAGGAGCCGCUAACUUCGUGCCAGAAGCGUCGGUAAUACGGGGGCUCCAAGCGUUAUCCGGUGUUAUUGGGCGUAAAGAGUCGUGUAGGUGGUUGGGUAAGUUAUCUUUCAAAUAUCUUUGCUUAACAAAGAGGAGGGGGAUAAUACUGCUCGACUAGAAUUUUCUCAAGGGAGAUCGGAACUGAGGGAGGAGUAGUGAAAUGCGUUGAUACCCUCGGGAACACCAGUGGCGUAGGCGGAUCUCAGGGAGAAGAUUGACACUGAGACACGAAAGCUAGGGGAGCGAAGCAGAUUAGAGACCUGCGUAGUCCUAGCCGUAAACGCAUGCUUGCUAGCUGCAUGAAUCUACCUUCGGGUGGUAUCGUGUGGCGAAGGUAACCCGUUAAGCAAGCCGCCUGGAAAGUACGGCCGCAAGGCUGAAAUUCAAAGGAAUUGGCGGGGAGGCACACAACCAGUGGAACAUGUGGUUUAAUUCGAGACUAACCGAAGAACCUCACCAGGGUUUGACAUGUAGCUGCACGUCUUAAGAAAUUAAGACUCUCUUGAAGGUGCUACACAGGUGCUGCAUGGCUGUCGUCAGCUCGUUCCGUGAGGAGUGCCCUUAAGUGGGACAACGAGCGCAACCCCUAUUACAUGUUAGAAAUGUCAUGUAAGACUGCCUUGCCAUUUGGCGGGGAGGAAGGAGGGGCGGACGUCAAGUCCGCAUGGUCCUUAUGCCCUGGGCUACACACAUGUUACAAUGAGUACGGCAAUGAGUCUGUCGCGAGCACGUAAGUGUAAGCUAAUCUCUUAAAUGUACUCUCAGUGGGGAUUGAGGUCUGCAACUCGACCUCAUGAACACGGAAUUGGUAGUAAUCGCGGGUCAGCUAUACCGCGGUGAAUACGUUCUUGCCUCUUGCACACACCGCCCGUCAAACCAGCAAAGU
rnacentral:rRNA from 1 species